GUCAACGUGCCAGAGUGGUUAAUGGGCUGCCCUGCUAUUACAUCUAGCUUUCGCUGGAAAAUACACAGGCAGUGGCUUCGGUCGCGCAAGUUCGAAUCUUGUCGUUGACG